GAUGAACGCUGGCGGCGUGCCUAAUACAUGCAAGUCGAGCGAACGGACGAGAAGCUUGCUUCUCUGAUGUUAGCGGCGGACGGGUGAGUAACACGUGGAUAACCUACCUAUAAGACUGGGAUAACUUCGGGAAACCGUAGCUAAUACCGGAUAAUAUUUUGAACCGCAUGGUUCAAAAGUGAAAGACGGUCUUGCUGUCACUUAUAGAUGGAUCCGCGCUGCAUUAGCUAGUUGGUAAGGUAACGGCUUACCAAGGCAACGAUGCAUAGCCGAACUGAGAGGGUGAUCGGCCACACUGGAACUGAGACACGGUCCAGACUCCUACGGGAGGCAGCAGUAGGGAAUCUUCCGCAAUGGGCGAAAGCCUGACGGAGCAACGCCGCGUGAGUGAUGAAGGUCUUCGGAUCGUAAAACUCUGUUAUUAGGGAAGAACAUAUGUGUAAGUAACUGUGCACAUCUUGACGGUACCUAAUCAGAAAGCCACGGCUAACUACGUG
rnacentral:rRNA from 1 species